CAGUUACUCCCUCCAUUCGGAAAUACUUGUCCAAAAAAUAAAUGUAUCUAGACGUAUUUUAAUUAUAGAUACAUUCAUUUUUAUGACAAAUAAUUCCGAAGGAAGGGAGUACAAA
rfam:Triticum aestivum genome assembly, contig: Triticum_aestivum_CS42_TGACv1_scaffold_221170_3B